rnacentral:rRNA from 1 species
UACAGAGACUGCAAGCGUUAUUCGGAUUCACUGGGCGUAAAGGGUGCGCGGGCGGCCGUAUGUGUGAGGCGUGAAAGCCCGGGGCUUAACCCCGGAAUUGCACCUCAAACUAUACGGCUAGAGCAUUGGAGAGGGUAGCAGAAUUCAUGGUGUAGCAGUGAAAUGCGUAGAUAUCAUGAGGAAUGCCAGAGGCGAAGGCGGCUACCUGGACAAUUGCUGACGCUCAGGCACGAAAGCGUGGGGAGCAAACAGG